rnacentral:lncRNA from 1 species
AAGUGUUGUAAUUGUUCCCAUUCAAAGCGUGAGAAACCAACGUAAGCCCAAGAUGAUCUGAGCUAUGAAGAAAAAAUUGGUUAUGGGUUUCAUCUGAAUGGGUGUUUUGUGAGGUUUGGGUAGUCUAUGAAUUUUGGUUUGAAGAUGCCGCCAACGGCUGAAAUUGAUUCUGUGAUGAGGAGCCACCACCACCUCUGGCCAUAGUAGCUUAAUGAGGUGCAGCGGAAAUGGUAGGAGCUUAUAGCUCUGAUACCAUAUUAGAAAAAGAAAUAAACAAUGAAUUAAGAGAAGAAAUAUUCUCUUGAUUUAUUGUAUAUUGAUAUUUGAAUGUACACUAUUUAUAUACAAAGUAAAGGGCUAAACUAGGAAAUUUAAAUGUAGUUGGUUAUAACAGAAAAAUGAUAACAAAANN